rnacentral:snRNA from 1 species
AUCACUUCUCAGACUUUUGGCUAAGAUAAAGUGUAGCAUUUGUUCUUACCAGUCCAAGAUCUGAUCAUCAUCAUUAUUAUUUCUCAGGAAUAGAUUAUAUUGCUGUUGUUAUUAUUUCUUAGCAACUUGUUGUUGUUGCUAGUGCAAGGGUCAGACCAAGGAGCAAGCCAAAAAUUAGGAGUCAAGUCCCAGAACAUU